AAGGAGCUUUGCUUGCGGACUCACAAGUUAAUAUUGGCCGUUUGAUAAGUUAUGUUUUGUCCAUUUUGUGGUGGGAACCUUCAUGUUGUUCUGUCCUAUUGUGGCUCAUGCAGCAGAAAUAUUCAGUUUUUAAGGACUCAUCAAGAUGACGAUCCUCAAGCCACAACUGCAGAUGAUCUCAUCGUGAAGUAUUUCACGGAGGGCCACAGUUAUGAAGUAAUAAGAGACUUCCUUGCUGCCAAACACAAUAUUUCAAUGAGUCUUAGCACUUUAAAAAGAAAAUUACAAAGGGCAGGCCUGACCAGGAGGACAAAUUACACACCAAUUGCUACUGUGCAUGCAGCUAUUUCUGAAGAACUUAAGGGAUCAGGCCAACUGCUGGGUUAUCGAGCAAUGUGGCAGACCCUCAAACAGAAGUAUUCUUUUAUCGUCAGAAGAAGGGAUGUGAUGCAACUAAUGAGAGAAUUGGAUCCGUCUGCAGUAGAAAACAGGUCUAGACGAAGAUUUGUCCGCAGAGCAUAUCAUUAAGUGGGACCCAAUGAAAUUUGGCAUGUUGAUGGGUAUGACAAAUUAAAACCCUAUGGCAUUGCAAUAAGUGGCUGCAUUGAUAGGUUCUCCAGAAAAAUACUGUGGCUCAAAUGUGGAAAGUCCAACAAUGAUCCUAGGAUUAUUGCUCAGCAUUAUAUGUCGUGCAUUUCUGAGUUUGGAGUUUUUCCAAUGCGCCUUUGGACAGACUGCGGAACAGAAAAUGGACUGAUGGCGGCAUUUUACAGUUCCUUGAGAUCAGUGCACACAGAUGAAUUUGCAGGAGCCAAAAGCCACAUGUAUGG